rnacentral:rRNA from 1 species
GACGAACGCUGGCGGCGUGCUUAACACAUGCAAGUCGAACGGAAAGGCCCUGCUUUGGUGGGGUGCUCGAGUGGCGAACGGGUGAGUAACACGUGAGUAACCUGCCCUUGACUUUGGGAUAACUUCAGGAAACUGGGGCUAAUACCGGAUAGGAGCUCCUGCUGCAUGGUGGGGGUUGGAAAGUUUCGGCGGUUGGGGAUGGACUCGCGGCUUAUCAGCUUGUUGGUGGGGUAGUGGCUUACCAAGGCUUUGACGGGUAGCCGGCCUGAGAGGGUGACCGGCCACAUUGGGACUGAGCUACGGCACAGAGUCCUACGGGAGGCAGCAGUGGGGAAUAUUGCACAAUGGGCGGAAGCCUGAUGCAGCAACGCCGCGUGCGGGAUGACGGCCUUCGGGUUGUAAACCGCUUUCGCCUGUGACGAAGCGUGAGUGACGGUAAUGGGUAAAGAAGCACCGGCUAACUACGUG